rnacentral:rRNA from 1 species
AAUGAACGCUGGCGGCGUGCCUAACACAUGCAAGUCGAGCGAGAAAGUCUCUUCGGAGAUAAGUACAGCGGCGGACGGGUGAGUAACGCGUGAGAAUUUACCCUUUAGUGAAGAAUACCUCUGAGAAAUCAGGGUUAAUACUGCAUACGUCCCUACGGGGAGAAAGGUGGCCUCUUUGCUGCCGCUAAAGGAUAAGCUUGCGUACUAUUAGCUAGUUGGUGAGGUAAAGGCUCACCAAGGCGAUGAUGGUUAGCCGGCCUGAGAGGGUGUACGGCCACACUGGAACUUAGACACGGUCCAGACUCCUACGGGAGGCAGCAGUGAGGAAUAUUGCGCAAUAGGGCGAAAGACCUGACGCAGCGACGCCGCGUGGAGGGA